GGAGAGAGUGUGUCUAUUUCUGGCUCGGGAGGGGGAGGUGUCUGUGAGCUGAGCCCUGGGGGCACAGAAAGGAUCCCACCCGUUUUUCUCCUUGCUUGCUGCAGAGAGGUGGGGUAUAUGGUUUCCUGCUGCAUCCGGGAAAAUGUAUCCGUGGAGGAGAUUUAGGGGCUCAGGUAAAGGUAUUGAGAAUGGGUAUCUGUGGACAUAGGAGAGAGAGUUGCCCGGUGGGGUCCUGGGUAGAAACCGGCAGAGCCCGCCCAAGGGAAGUUCCCACAAACCACCUUCGGUUUCCCCCUAGGAAAACUCUCUUGGUACCUUCAGUCCCUCUAGGGCACAGUUUGCCCUCAUAAGCCCAGAAGGUAAGGGGCACAGUACAGGGCAGGGUGGUUUAGACAGGGCUCAGGGUUGACAGGGAAGGGGGGGGGCUGGGAUGUAAGAGGAAGGGGCUAACCCUUGGGAGCAGAAGUCUGAGUCCCCAUUCUACUUGAUCACAUGACCUUGUCAAAGUCAUUGCAGCUUUCUUGCUGUCUGUCACUCCUACAGUGGUUAUAAUACAGCUUCAUAGGCAAAGGGGCUUUGAAACCUAAGGACUCCAAAGAGACGUGGCAUCGGUCCCUCUGCCGAGCUGCAGAACCCAUGAAAAAGAUCCUGGAUAUGUCGGUCCCAUCAGCAUAGGCGCUCUCCAAGUGCCCCACUAGCCCAGGGCAGGUGUUGAUGGUUAAAGGUCUCUGAGGUCUAAAUGCUGGACACCAGGUGCUGACCAGAGCCCAGGAUGCUCUAACUUCCUCGGUCCCAGUUGAGAGUCUAUAAACCUUUCUAGGACAGGGACUAGAGCAGAGAGGCCGUGUCGAGCGCAGCUCUGAGAAUGGGAGUUAUUGGGCAGAGAGCUCUUUGGCAAGAGCUGUGGACUUUCAGCUGGCCUCAGAGAUCCAAAGAGAGAUGGAGAGUCUGGCCUCAAGGGACUCAAUGUCUGGCAGGGAAUACAAGGCAGACAACCCAAGACUUGGGGAAAUAACUUUGUGCCUGUGAAAAUGAAGUGUCGAGCACAUUUAUCUCAGGGAGGCAGGCAUGGGUAUGUGUUCUCCUCACAGGAAUGACAAGAGGUCCUUGGGAAGAGAUUGGCCAGGAAGACAGUGCUCAGAGGCCCUGAGUCCAGAUCUUAGGAAACACAGAGGUGGAGCCAAGACUGUGAGUCCAUGGAGGAAACAAGCAAUUUGAAGCUGGUCAAAGGAAUACUGAGUAGUAUCCUGCUAGAACAUGACCAGGCAUAGAGAGGCUGGCCAUAGGACACACACAUCCUCAUGCCUGAAAUAAGCUCCUAGUUCAAGCAAGAGUAAGAGCAUCUCUGAUCCCACAGACUACUUGUAACAGUGUCACAAACAACUAGAGCUUGAGAUCCUCCUGCCUCAGCCCCCCUGAGUGCUGGGGUUACAGACAAACCAUCGUUGUUAAAGUCCUCAUUCUUAUCCACCUGUCAUCUUGUAAUUUAGUCGAGAUUUCCCUGAUUCAAUCCGGUGGAAAUGUUGCUUUCUCUAAAAUUACAAUUUAGAAACCAAAGGAUACCUGUGGGCUGAUUUACCAAGUUCUUGGUUGUUGUUGAUAGUUUUCCCCCUGCAUGUAAACUCAUCUCUGCCUUAGCUAACGAAAUUGGCUAAUUACCAUCCUGACUGAACAACCCUAGGUCCAUCCACCCACGUCUACUGCUGCAGCCAAAACGCCUGGCUUAACCUGAGCCCUCGUCCCUGGUGUCCAUAUCUGUAGUAAAACCUUCAGCAGUUUAUGAAACCCUAGUCCAUGAUCUGUCUGUCCACCUGCAUUUCCUUUGCUCCGGAUGCCUACUGCCCCUGGGACCUGACCUUCCUUCCGCCAUGGUUGUCUCACUCCCUUAUUCGAUUCCACGUGUUAGCUUAGUUCUUCCUCUUCUCUGUAUCCUCUUUGUUCCUCUGCAGCUUCUCUCAUGGGAUAUCAUAUUCCCCAAAUCUCAAGUCCCUUUUCUCCCUCCAAUAAACAGCCCCUGAAAUUCUGCUUCUCGUUAGAAGAAGACAGAGCAGAUAAAGGAAAGAUCACUCCUCAGACUUUUGGCUGAAAUCAAGUUGGUAUCUGUUCGUAUCAGAAGAGAGGCACCGCGCCUUCCUGCCGUCUAAGUCUGGAUCCCUCUCCCUCCCACUCACCUCCCAGCACAUCACCUGUCAGUUCCUGAGAUGUAAAAUACUAUCUAUGCACAAUGUCAUGAAUUAACUCACUGCCAGUCCUCCUCCUGUCUUGAAAGGGUCUUGCCAUGGCCGGGUGGUGGUCCCUUUAAACACUAUCUUGGCAUCUUGGAAUACUCCAAGGCUCUCUAAUACCACCUCUACCUCCAUCUCGCCCUUUUUAUUCUUUUCACAUCCCCUGAAUUUCCCAACCAUUCUCUCCUGGAGUGCAAAUGCUCUGCUGCCGUGGCAACAGCCAUUCUGGCAUCCGUCGAUAAAGCCGAUAUGUACAGAGCCUUUCCUACAGCGAUUCCUCAAAAGAGGGGGUUCUGCCAUGUCAUACUAUCCCCAGGAUCAACCCUGAGCCCCUCCUAUUCAGUCAUUUCCCCCCUUUGCUACCCUGCAAAAAACGCCAGGGCUCAAGUGUUCAUUGCAUUGGGACCAACGAUCAUUAAUGGGCUGGGCAGAUGGAGGAGGGUGCUGUGAUGUCAGUAACCUUAUGUGAGGACUGGUUCCCCGUCAGUUCCUGGGGAGGUGGGAAAAGAGGCUGGUUUGGAAGCAUCUGUAUCUUCUUCAGUCCCUCGGUCUCCUAAAACAAGCUCGAUACUCCAUUUCUGCCAGUUUCUGUAGUGGAAAUGGGCUGUGUAAUUUGACCAUAUCUGUUGACUAUUAUCUUGAAGCAAUUUGAGGAAUGAAGAUGUAGGCCUAGGGCCAGGGACAGGCAUGCUGUGGGACUUGACAUUCUCACACCCCUGUGACUAGAAAUGCUGUAACCCAGGGUGAGGGGGCGAUGGUCUGGGGCUCUGCCAGUUGGGCUAAUGUUAGUGGAGCUGGAGGGAAGAGAGAAGAAGGUAGACACGUGAGCUAGACUGGUCCUGCCCUGAUGACCUUGAAAGGUGACCUUGGACGAAGGGAGUGUGAGGGAGACAGGAGUGGGCAAAGGAGCCCACACUUUGCUCCCCACCCAGCACAGGACAGAGUUCGGGGACAGGUGGUACUUGUUUCUGUGCCCACAGUUAGGAUCUGGAGAUCAAGGACUGGAAACGCAACCACGUGACUGCAAGCCUAGCCUAUCCAUCCUGGGCUAGGGCUGGGGGUGCUGUCAACCCCAAAGAGUGACAAGCUCUUUCUUUAAGGCUUUCUGGGCUCAUCCUCCUGUGAAGUGCCUGCUUGUCACUUCCCAGGAAGAUUCCGACAACCCGUCUCUGUAAAAUCUAUUGCUCCUAACUUCCUUCUACCAGGUCAUUUUUCUAUGUCACUCAGUCCCUCAUUGGGGAUGACAGAAUGUGGGCAAGGCCAGGCUAGAGACUGUGGAAAUAGCUGAUGUUUAAACAACAAGUCUCUAGAAAGCCCAUCCCCAAUGCUCAUGCUGGUUCGGGUCAGCUGGGCUAGCUGCUGGGGGAUUUUCGGAUCACAAAACUAAAAACUCUUGUCCUUGUGGAGUUUAUGUUCAUAUGGGCAAGACAGAAAAUUAGCCAGAGAUACCAGCCACUUAAAAGCACUAAGGAGGGGCCAGCAAGAUAGUUCAGUGGGUAAGCGCACCUGGCCCUAAGCCUGACGACCGGGGUUCCAUUCCCAGCAUUCACGUGACAGAACUGACUCCUGAAAGUUAUCCUCUGGGCUCCUACAGACACACACACAAAAUCAAUAUAAAAAAUGCUAAGGAGAAAGAAAAAUGGAAAUAAGAAAUUCCUGAUGUGUUGCAAAGACAGCAAGGGAGAUAAGAGCUCGGCCAGGAAAGGAAGGAAUGCUGCAGAAAGAGAGUGAGAGGUAUGGUGGGAGGCGGGGCAUGGGGGCCUCCGAGGUCUUCAUAUAAGGACUUGUCAUGCAGAAUAGCACUGUAGGCCAGGGAGAGACCUGGCUUCCCCUUGGAAAAGAUCACUUUGAGUCUUAUGUGGAGGCAAAUUGUUGGGGUCAUUGGCUGAAGUGGUGAAUCCAGCUGAAAGAUGAUGGUGCUGGGGAUGGCGGUCAUGAGAAGUGGUCAGCCAUGGUACACUUUGGAGCCAUUAGAAAUUUGCUCUUUGGCUAAAUGUGGGUGUGUAGGAGAGAGAGUGAUCAAGGAUAUUUCCCCAAGGUUUUUGGCCAGUACAACUCUUGGAUAGGAAUCUGUCUCUCUGUCUCUCUCUGUUUAUUUUUUUUUGUCCUGGAACUUGAUUUGUAGACCAGGCUGGCCUCAAACUCAGAGAUCCUCCUGUCUCUCUCUGCGGUCCCCGCCCCUCAAUGUGCUGGGAUUGUUAAGACAGGCUCUCACCAGGCUAGCCUUGAACUUACUGUCCUCAUGCCUUAGUCUUUUCUGAACGCUGAAAUUACCCACGUGCCAUCAAACCUGGCUCUCCUCAACCCCUGGUGAAGGAGAAUGCUUCUCCUUUAUGGAUGGCACCCCGACUCUCCCCACAGUUCACUGCAGCCUCUGUAAGGAUUUCCUCACAUCUGUAGCCAUCAUUCAUCACGCGUUUAUUUGUGUUUCUCAAGAAUCCAUUUUUCUGGUUGGACUUGUCCUCAAAGGCCAUCAAAGUCCUGUGCGCACAGUGGGCUCUCAGGGAUAGUUGGUGAAUGACGACUAACGAAAUGAAUGAAUGCGUGACUCAGAACAGAUGUGUGGGGCCUGUAAACAGGGGUGACCUCUCAGUACCCUGUGGUGAGAGACAGCACAGCUGGAGUGUGGAGUGGAAGCCAGGCCUCUGGGAUGGCGGCCCAGCCACAUCUUUUCUCGCUUCUCUGUAGCCUUAGGACAGGAGGCUCUGUCCUUGUCCCCUUCGCAGGAAAAGCCAUAUCUUCGGGGGAUGACCUUGGGACAUCUCGCUGAAAGACUACCUCAUGCCCCCAAACUGCUGCUGCGUUCAGAGGGCUUUGCCUGCUCUGCGAUGAGAGACAUGGAACUCACUGGUCCUACCUUAGUUUCCUCUGAAGUCUGGGACUCCUGCCCCUCAGGGUGACACACAGGAUGGAAAACAGUGCCUACUGUCCGUGACUCCUGUGUCUGUUGCCUCACUCUUCAAGUGCUCGUCCUGGAGCGCCUUCUGUCAUCAAGGACUCCAGACAGAGGGGCAUGGCCCUAGACUGCUUGAGGUGUCGUCAACUUGACCAAAAGUUAGAUUCACCUGGGAGACGGGCCUCUGGACACACCCACGGGGGAAGUCAUGAGGCUGGAGCUCUGCCUCUCAUCUCUGGGACAGGACACACACAAGCCAGAGCUGAAGCAUCUCCAGGAUGCUCUGUGGACCCUGUACUGCUGAGUGCUGAACAGCCCCCAACUGCAUCGUGAACCCCACAGGGACGGAAGCUUUUGCCUAUUUUGGUCAAACUUCUAAAAUGCACCUGGCACAUAGAUACCUCGGAUGACCUCCCUUCUCUAGCCUCUUCAUGUUGGCCAUCUCACUGCUUCUCCCUCAGGCACUGCCCCCUCUCUGGACUCCACAUGUCUUCUUCUUCUUCCCCAAGGUCAUAGCAUAUAUGGCUAAGGGUAUGCCCACCCAAGACUGCCUGAGUUCAAAUCCUGAAUGGACCAAGUUGGGCGAAUCAUUUAACUGCUCUGUACUACAGUUUUCCCAUCUGUAAGGAGGGGUGAUGAGGACAGCCUUUUGCUUGAUAACAAACAAUACUGGGCAUGUAUUAAAUAAUUAGUAUGCGUCAGGCUCUCUCCUAUGUAUUUUUCCUAUAUUGAAGCACUUAAUUCCCACAAACCUCUAGGGGAAGGUUUAUUUAUUUGUUCAUUCAUUUAUUUAAUACUAUUUUAAAAAAAUAUGGUCUC